AGUGAACGCUGGCGGCGUGGAUUAGGCAUGCAAGUCGAGCGAACCCGCAAGGGUUAGCGGCAAAAGGGUGAGUAACACGUAAGUAAUCUGCCCUUAAGACGGGGAUAGCACCGUGAAAACGGUGGUAAUACUCGAUGUUAUCGGUAGCCUGCAUGGGCGGCCGAUCAAAGAUGGGGACCGUAAGGCCUGUCACUUAGGGAUGAGCUUGCGUACCAUCAGCUAGUUGGUAGGGUAAUGGCCUACCAAGGCUAAGACGGUUAGCUGGUCUGAGAGGACGACCAGCCACAUUGGGACUGAGACACUGCCCAGACUCCUACGGGAGGCUGCAGUCGAGAAUAUUUAGCAAUGGACGAAAGUCUGACUAUGCGACGCCGCGUGCAGGAUGAAGGUCUUCGGAUUGUAAACUGCUUUUGUUAGGGGAGAAACCUGAAACGUUAACACCGUUUCAGCUGACGGUACCUGACGAAUAAGCCACGGCAAACCCUGUG
rnacentral:rRNA from 1 species